rnacentral:rRNA from 1 species
UACGAAGGGGGCUAGCGUUGUUCGGAAUUACUGGGCGUAAAGCGUGCGCAGGCGGCUUCUCAAGUCAGGGGUGAAAGCCCAGAGCUCAACUCUGGAAUUGCCAUUGAAACUGUUUGGCUCGAGUACGAGAGAGGUGAGUGGAAUUCCCAGUGUAGAGGUGAAAUUCGUAGAUAUUGGGAAGAACACCGGUGGCGAAGGCGGCUCACUGGCUCGUAACUGACGCUCAUGCACGACAGCGUGGGGAUCAAACAGG